UGAUCUCAAAUCAGAUAAGAGUACCCGCUGAACUUAAGCAUAUCAAUAAGCGGAGGAAAAGAAACUAACAAGGAUUCCCUUAGUAACGGCGAGUGAAGCGGGAAGAGCUCAAAUUUGAAAUCUUCAAGGUUUUACCUUGACGAAUUGUAGUUUAAAGAAGUGUUUUCUGUUGAAGUUUUGGUAAAAGUUCUUUGGAAUAGGACAUCAUAGAGGGUGAGAAUCCCGUAUUUGACCAUUAUUUUCAGCUGUGUGAUACACUUUCAAAGAGUCGGAUUGUUUGGGAAUGCAGUCCAAAAUGGGUGGUAAAUUUCAUCUAAAGCUAAAUAUUGGCGAGAGACCGAUAGCGAACAAGUACCGUGAGGGAAAGAUGAAAAGAACUUUGAAAAGAGAGUUAAACAGUACGUGAAAUUGUCAAAAGGGAAGCGUUUGACACCAGUGUUGUUUUCUCGAAAAUCAAUUAAAAAGAGUUAGAUUUUGUUGUGUAUUGACCUUAACAGCUUGCAUUUCAAUUUUCUUGCUUUUUUUAAUGCACUUUUCGUUUAACAAGUCAACAUCAGUUUCUUUUGUUGUAAAAAGGUCAUUGGAAGGUGGCUUUCUUUUCGGAGAAAGUGUUUAUAGCCUUUGACUCCUGCAAUCGGAGAGACUGAGGUCUGCAGCGUAGAUCCUUCGGGGUUAGAUACAUUUGUGCUAAGUUAUAGCUUUUUAUAGACAACUUGUUGACUAUGAUUAGUCUUGUAGCUUACUCGCUUAUGCUAUUUUACCUACGCUUAGGAUGUUGACAAAAUGGUUUUAAACGACCCGUCUUGAAACACGGACCAAGGAGUCUAACAAAUAUGCGAGUAUUUGAGUGGAAAACUCAUAUGCGUAAUGAAAGUGAUUUUGGUGGGAUUUUCGAUGCACCAUCAACCGGUCAGGAUUUUUUAUGAAGGAUCUGAGUCUAAGCAUAUUUGUUGGGACCCGAAAGAUGGUGAACUAUGCCUGAAUAGGGUGAAGUCAGAGGAAACUCUGAUGGAGGCUCGUAGCGGUUCUGACG
rnacentral:ncRNA from 1 species